GAAAAGAAACCAACAGGGAUUGCCUCAGUAACGGCGAGUGAAGCGGCAAGAGCUCAACUUUGGAAUCGCUCCGGCGAGUUGUAGUCUGGAGGUGGCCACCACGAGGUGUUCUAGCAGCAGGCAAGUCCUUUGGAACAAGGCGCCAGCGAGGGUGACAGCCCCGUACCUGCUUUUGCUAGUGCUUCCUGUGGCCCACCGACGAGUCGAGUUGUUUGGGAAUGCAGCUCUAAGUGGGUGGUAAAUUCCAUCUAAGGCUAAAUAUUGGCGAGAGACCGAUAGCGAACAAGUACAGUGAUGGAAAGAUGAAAAGCACUUUGAAAAGAGAGUGAAACAGUACGUGAAAUUGUUGAAAGGGAAGGGCUUGCACCCAGACACGGUUUCGGCCGGGCCAGCAUCAAGUAGAACGGGGUUAAAAGACCUGGGGAAUGUAGCUACCUCUUGGUAGUGUUAUAGCCCUUGGGUGAUGACCCCUGUUUUGCUUGAGGACAGCGGUCUCUAGGAUGCUGGCGCAAUGGUUGCAAGCCACCCGUCUUGAAACACGGACCAAGGAGUCUAACGUCUAUGCGAGUGUACGGGUGAAAAACCCCUGCGCGGAAUGAAAGUAAGAGGUUGGAACCCUCUCGGGGGUGCACAAUCGACCGACCCAGAAGUGCUCGGACGGGUUUGAGUAGGAGCAUAGCUGUUGGGACCCGAAAGAUGGUGAACUAUACCUGAAUAGGGUGAAGCCAGAGGAAACUCUGGUGGAGGCUCGUAGCGGUUCUGACGUGCAAAUCGAUCGUCGAAUUUGGGUAUAGGGGCGAAAGACUAAUCGAUC
rnacentral:rRNA from 1 species